rnacentral:rRNA from 1 species
AUGCUCACCUUCACCGAGCUGUCGUGCCCGGCGGGCGGCGGCGGCGGCGGCGGCGGCGAGGACGCGCCCCGCUCCGUCGACCCGCAGCUCUGGCUGGCCUGCGCGGGGAGCAUGUGCACCGUGCCGCCCGUCGGCGCCGCCGUCUACUACUUCCCGCAGGGCCACGCAGAGCAGGCCGCCGCCACCGUCGACCUGUCCGCCGCGCGCGUGCCGGCCCUCCUCCCCUGCCGCGUCUCCGCCGUGCGCUUCAUGGCCGACCCGCAGACCGACGAGGUCUUCGCCAAGAUCCGCCUCGCCCCGCUCCGCCAGGGCGAGCCGGCGGUCGACGUGGGCGACGCCGCCGCCGAAGGGCGGGCGCUUCAGGACGACCGCCCCAAGCCGGCCUCCUUCGCCAAGACGCUCACGCAGUCCGACGCCAACAACGGCGGCGGCUUCUCGGUGCCCCGCUUCUGCGCCGAGACCAUCUUCCCGCCGCUCGACUACAGCUCGGAGCCGCCGGUGCAGAGCAUCAUCGUCAAGGACGUGCACGGGGACGAGUUCAAGUUCCGCCACAUCUACCGGGGCACCCCGCGCCGCCACCUGCUCACCACGGGAUGGAGCAACUUCGUGAACCAGAAGAAGCUCCUCGCCGGCGACUCCAUCGUCUUCCUGCGCAGCGAGGGCGGCGAGGUCCACGUCGGCAUCCGCCGCGCCAAGCGCGUCUUCUGCGACGAGGGCCACUCCGGGUGGGACCACUACAGGGGCCUGAUGCGCGGCAAUGCCAGCUCCGGCGACGGCGGCGCGGCCACCGCCAAGGGGAAGGUCCCCGCCGAGGACGUGGUCGCGGCGGCGAGGCUGGCCGCCGCCGGGCAGCCGUUCGAGGUGGUGUACUACCCGCGGGCGAGCACCCCGGAGUUCUGCGUGCGCGCGGGCGCGGUCAGGGCGGCCAUGCAGGUGCAGUGGUGCCCCGGCAUGCGCUUCAAGAUGGCGUUCGAGACCGAGGACUCGUCGCGGAUCAGCUGGUUCAUGGGCACCGUCGCCGGCAUCCACGCCGCCGACCCCAGCCGCUGGCCGCAGUCGCCCUGGCGGCUCCUCCAGGUGACCUGGGACGAGCCGGAGCUGCUCCAGAACGUGAAGCGCGUGUGCCCGUGGCUGGUGGAGCUGGUGUCGAGCAUGCCCAACCUCCACCUGCCGUCCUUCUCGCCGCCGCGCAAGAAGCCGCGGAUCCCGUCCUACGCCGACUUCCCCUUCGAGGGGCAGCUCUUCCACCCGCCGCCGCCGCCGUUCCCGCCCAACCACGGCCACCACCAUCAGCAGGACCAGCUCCUGCACCACAGCUUCCCAUUCUUCCCCUUCCCGGACAGCAAUGGUGCUCCUCUCGCAGGGAUACAGGGAGCCAGGCAUGCGCAAUUCGGUCCGUCCUUUUCGGAUCUCCACCUCAGCAACCUGCAGUCGAGCCUGCUCUACGCGGGCGGCGCCGUCCGCCGCCCCGCCGCCGACCACGUCGCUCCUCGCGCACCAAGAACGAUCAGCACCGACCUGACGAUCGGCACCUCGCCCGCCCGCGAAGACGACAACAUCACGACGCGCGCUCCGACAAAGAAGGCCGGCGGCGGCGACGUCAAGCCGGCGCCGACCCUGCUGCUCUUCGGGCAGGCGAUACUGACCGAGGAGCAGAUGAAGUCCAGCAGCGCCGGCGGCGACGCGGCCACCUCGCCGGUGGCCGGCGGGUGCGGCUCGCCCAACUGGGACGUGGAGAAGGCGCCCAACCUCUCGGAGGGCUCCGGGUCGGGCUCCGGCGUGAUCCAGGGCAGCCCAAGCAACAACAACACGUCCUCCUGGAGGCUGCAGUGGUUCGGGGACAGCAGCGGCCAGGCGGCGCCGGAGCUGCUGGGGCUGGAGCCCGGGCAGUGCAAGGUGUUCGUGGAGUCGGACGCCGUGGGGCGCAUCCUGGACCUGUCGGCGCUGGGGUCGUUCGAGGAGCUGUACGGGCGCAUGUCGGAGAUGUUCGGCAUGGAGUGCGCUGAACUGAGGAACCACGUGCUCUACCGCAGCGCCGCCGGCGAGGUGAAGCACAUCGGCGAUGAGCCUUUCAGCGCGUUCGUGAAAUCGGCCCGGAGGCUGACGAUCCUGACGGACGCCGGCAGCGACAACAUAGGGGGCUGA